rnacentral:piRNA from 1 species
UUCACAGCAAUGAAAUCCUAAGACAGAAGU